rnacentral:tRNA from 3 species
CGGGAUGUGGCUCAGCUUGGUAGAGCGCUCGGUUCGGGACCGAGAGGUCGUGGGUUCGAAUCCCGCCAUCCCGACCA